rnacentral:rRNA from 1 species
GGUUCCGCCGCGUGGUGUUGGGACCGUAGCCGCAGUAGGUCAGCGCAGGGGUGACACGGAAUGGGAGCCGGCCGCGGAGGUGGUUUUCCGUGGUCAAGCACGCAGCCAGUCAUGUAGGCAAAUCCGCAUGGCGCGCAUGGCGAGGUGUGAUGAUGGGAGCCGUUAUGGUUCGAUAUCCGGUUGUCCAGGCCGUCGAGAAAAGCCUCGGCGUGAGGGCCAUGGCCGCCCGUACCCCAAACCGACACUGGUGGUCAGGUAGAGAAUACCAAGGCGAUCGAGCGAAUCCUGGUCAAGGAACUCGGCAAAUCACUCCCGUGCCUUCGGUAUAAGGGAGACCCGCUGGGGUGAACCGGCUAGCCCGGGGAGCUUUGGUGGGUGGCACAGACCAGGGGGUAGCGACUGUUUACCAAAAACACAGGUGCAUGCGAAGGCGCAAGCCGCUGUAUAUGCACUGACGCCUGCCCGGUGCCGGAAGGUUAAGAGGAUCCGUCAGUCCUUCGGGAUGAAGCGGUGAAUUCAAGCCCCGGUAAACGGCGGUGGUAACUAUAACCAUCCUAAGGUAGCGAAAUUCCUUGUCGGGUAAGUUCCGACCUGCACGAAUGGCGUAACGACUUCCCCACUGUCUCGACCAGGAGCUCGGCGAAAUUGCAGUACGAGUAAAGAUGCUCGUUAAGCGCAGAAGGACGAAAAGACCCCGGGACCUUUACUAUACCUUGGUAUUGGCGUUAGGCGCGGAUUGUGUAGCAUAGGCGGGAGGCUUCGAAGCGUGGGCGCCAGCUCAUGUGGAGCCGCAAGGUGAAAUACCGCUCUGUUCUCGUUUGACGUCUAACCUCGACAAGUCAUCCUUGUCAGGGACAGUGCCUGGCGGGUAGUUCAACUGGGGCGGUUGCCUCCCAAAGAGUAACGGAGGCGCCCAAAGGUCCGCUCAGCCCGGUUGGCAAUCGGGUGUCGAGUGUAAGUGCACAAGCGGGCUUGACUGCGAGGACGACGGUCCGAGCAGGGACGAAAGUCGGAGAUAGUGAUCCGGUGCCGGCGCACGGGCGCGGCAUCGCUCAACGGAUAAAAGGUACCCCGGGGAUAACAGGCUGAUCAUUCCCAAGAGUCCAUAUCGACGGGAUGGUUUGGCACCUCGAUGUCGGCUCGUCGCAUCCU